rnacentral:lncRNA from 1 species
AUGGUUCAUGCUGAUUUUUGCCAAGCUUGGUCAGCCUCAUUACUAUGGUACCCAGCAGGUUCUCAGCUCCUGCAGGCCUCCACAGCACUGCUUUGGGUCACCCCAGAUACCACCACAGCCUGCCUUGAGCCUCCUGAAAGCUGCUUCCCAGAGACACUUGAUGAUGUGACUCUCUUGAUGAUAAGAAGGUUGUACACAGCCUGCUGAGGUCAAGUUCCCAGCAGUCACAAAGUACGUCAGUGGUGCCGGUGAAGUCAAUGGAAUUGCUUUUAUGUACUUUAUGUUUGAGCACAUGGUUAAACCCUGCUUUUUUCUUUUUUUUUUUCUUUUUUUUUUUUUAAACUCUGUUCUCUGUGGAGGUCACAUUGACUUUAGUUCUGUUUGUGCUUUCAAUCUCUAUAUUUUACUGAGAACAUUGUAGGCUGAACAGGAAUUCUGUUUUUCAAGCAGCAUACAGAAGAGUAAUUUCCUACUUAAAGUUUUCUUCUCUAUCAAGUACUUUGUGGAAUACAUCUUAGUUCAUUCAGAUACAUCUUGGUUCAUUCAGAUAUAGAAUAAAAUUGAGAUUAAAAGUUACUUCUGUUUCCA